UCCAAAUUUAUGUUUUUUGAAAUAUUUUGCUAGUUUUACACGCAUUAAACCUAAAGCUUGUGCCGAAUCAGCAACAGCUGAACAUCUCCAGCUGGUCGACAAAGAC